UAAUUGUCAUAAGACUUGAUUCAGUUAACUUUUGUAAGAAUGUUUCCUCACCUGCAACAUGAGGAUAAUAUUAAUAUUACCUACAGACAGAUGCUAUAAACUACAUCCAGGUGUGCUGUGAGAAUUAAAUGAGCUGCUGGGUGUGGCUGUGAUUUACAAACCAUAGUGUAAUUAUUGUGUCAAAGUUGAAAGCAAGUAGAUAGUAUCUGGUAGGACUUUUGACCUCAAUGUAAUGACCAGAAUCUGCAAGACAGCAUUUUGGUGAGUGCUAAUCUUUUGAUUUAGGGCCAGUGUUUCUGGAAAGCCAGAAGGAUGGUUUGUAAUGAAGCAGAAUGUUUUGCCCAGAACGGCUGGCUAAGCAGUUGCAAAUUCUGUUUUCUUUGCCUGUUAAAGCCAUUUUAGCUUAAGUGUUGUUGUAGCUACUAUGGAGUCCUAGCUAGUGUCUUACUGUACAGAAUUAUUCAUCAUUUUCUAAGAGAAUCAUUUUGAUAAGGAACAUUCUCUUUAUUUUGUAUCUCUAUUGGGGUCAUCUUAUGGGGCAUCCACCUUGGGAUACACAAUUUGUGAGACAUUUUCAGUGAUAUUAUUUAAUAUUGUCCUUACAAUCACCCUCUGAAGUAUGCAUUAUCAUCUAUAUUUACAGACAAGAAAAGUGAAACUCAGUAACUUGCCUAACAUUAAAUGAGAGAGCUGAGAUUAACCCUCUUACCAAACUCAAGUUAGGUAUAUGCUCUUACCACUGCAUUGGUUCACUGGUUUUCAUAUUACUUUAGUGUAAGCACAGAAAAAGGGAAGGCAAUAGGAGUUCUCAACCCAGAGCAGUGCUACCCCACUAAGGAGUGUUUGAAGAGGGUAUUGAUUGCCUAACUGAGUUAAGGGGCUGCUGGAUUUGUUGGGCAGGGAUCAGCAGUGCCAAAUAUUCUGCAGUGCUCAGGACUAUACAACUGAAGAAUUUUCCCACCUGAGCAGCCAGCAGUGAUUCAUGAAUGUCUCUCUUGACCUUUUCUGAAAAGAUAAAAGUGGACUGUGUCUGUAUUAGUAUGACUAUAUUUUGUAGUUUUCACUUGGAUGCUUUUUGUGAUAUAGGAAAACCCAACCCUUACUUCCCAAGUGAUAUGACUUGAAUUCUUUUUCCCUCUAAAACUUGUGUUGAAAUUUAAUCCCUAAUGUUGCGGUAUUGAGAGGUGAGGCCUUUAAGAAGUGAGUGGGUCAGAGCUCUCAUAAAUAGAUUAGUCCAUUCAUGGAUUAAUGGACUAAUGGACUAAUAGAUUAAUGAAUUAUCAUGGGUGAAGAACUGGUGGCUUUAUAGGAAGAGGAAGAGAGACCUGAGCUAGCACAUCAGUACACUUAGCCCCCUCACUAUGUGAUACCCUGUGCAGCUUUGGGAUCCUUUAGAGAGUCCUCACUAGCAAGAAAGAUUUUACCAGAUGUGUCUCCUCAACCUUGGAUGGUCCAGCCUCCAGAACUAGAAGAAACAAAUGUCAGUUUCUUGGAAUUACCCAGUUUCAGGGAUUCUGUUAUAAACAAUAGAAAAUGAACCAAGACACAAAGCAAGAUGAAAUUGUUUCAUCUUUAGGUGUUUGUAUAAACCUUAUCACAGUACCUCAAUCGCUGUAUCCAUAAGCAUGAGCACCAUUUUAUUCAUUACUGGCUUUGUGGUGCCUAGCAUUGAGUCUAGCUAGUAGCAGGUGCUCAAGUAAUACUUGUGAAUACGAGGGCAUAGUGGUUUCUCUAUCAUCUAUGAAGCUCAGGAGACAGGCCUGAAGGCAUGGAUUGUCUGUGCUUACUGCUCUUCCUCCCUGCCCUCCAAAUAAACAGAACCAGUUAUCCAACUUGGUUUAAAAACAUUAGUGUUUCAGCGGCCAUUAAAAAUACAUUGCAUAUUGCUCUUCCUGAAUUCUUGCUCCUUUUCUGACUAACAUGUGAUCUGAUAGCUUAGGGUCUCAUUUGGUCACCAGCACCCUUCUAGGAAGGAAUGUUCUAUUCCUUGAAUCUGGCUGAGUGAUGGUUGCCUUACAAAGAUUAUUUUUCACGUCAGCUUCCUUAAGUUGUAGAUCCAUUUUUUUUCCCCUUGUGUACUUUGAGUGAUAGAGCUAUUACUAGAGCUGGGGUGUGUUUUCUAAAUGGUUGGCUAGAGCAAAAGCAUCAUAUUACAUUUCUUAAGAAAGGACUUUAAUUUAUUAGAAUUAUUAGUUCUCAUUUUCUACCUGUUAACCUUUGAAAUAUUAUUUACUUUUCCUUCUGGCAUUUGCAUAUACCUUGGGGUUAUUUUUCUCUUUUUAUAUCGAUCAAAUAUACUUUCAUAUAUUGUAAAUGUAUGUAAAGCACUUCAGGUUGGCACUAGUCCUUUUCAAUUACUAGUUAAAACGCUAUGAUGCCCUUUGAGAAAGAACUAUAUAAAUUUCAUAUUUUAAUUUAUGAGCUCUCAGUUAUGUUACUUGCUUAAGUUCCCUUAGCAAUUAAGUAGAGGAAUUAAAAUAAGAACUAAACAUGCCUGAUUCCUAGUUAUUUGGCUUCAAUAUUUUUUAAGAGUUUCCCUUCCUCUUCCCUCCAUUUGUGAUUUCUUCCUUCCUCUCUUUCUCCCAAGGAACUCCAUUACUGACUUUCUUCUACAUCUUACAUAAAAUUGUUAAUUUCCUUACUAUACUUAUAACCUUACACUUAGAGCUCAGGGUAGACCCAAGGAACGAUUGUUAACUUAGGUCAGACCUGAGCACCGUGGGACCUGCCCAACCUCUCUCUCACCUUGCCAAAUGCCUCCCACUUUCAUAGUAUCCCCAUCACCAAUUUCUUGACAAAAGUAGACUAUCCCCACUGUCUCCCACCCUUUUAUUCACCCCUUCUCUUUCCCUCCUUCCCUCCCUCCCUUCCAUCCUUCCUUCCCUUUCCUUCCUUCCUUCCCUUCCUUUCACCCUUUUCCCUCCCUCCCUUCCUCCCUUCCUUCCUUCCUUUUUCUCUCUUUCUCUGUUUCUCUCUCUCUCUUUUCUUUCUUUUUUUUCUGUUACAGGCAGCAUGUAUUCUGAUGUUGUUUUAUUUAGUUCUCUCUCCUUUUUUGGGGAUUGGGUAAGUAUGGUAGUGGGUAUGUGUCCUCACACAGAAAAGUUUAAACUGCAAUUUGAAUGAAAUUUUGUAACUUCCUGAAAUGCAGAUUAGGUUGUGGCAUGCUAGUUCACUUUGGAUUCAUGUGAUGUCACCAAAUGGCUAAAAAAAAAAAAAAAAAUCAAACAUGAUCAGCACAGUUAUUACUUUUUAAAGCCUUUUGAGAAAAACAUGUGUGUUGAAGAACAGGAUAGUGGACACAAAAAUAACUUCAGUCUCUAAGUGGGUAGAGAAUUGUUUUAACUUGAUAAUGUGUUUGAAAAGAAGAUAAGACAGUGGUUUGGGAAGUCACUGCCCUCUGCCCUGUGUGGAAUCCAAGGAUUAUUAGCAUUACAAGAAGAAAUUGCAGAUGAUCAUUACUAAAUGAAGAGAUUACUGGGAGACACAUGCCUCAGGUCAAAGAAGACAAUGGGGAUUAAGAGAUUACAACUAAUACAGAGAUGAUAUUAACUGUUUUCCCAAGGUUGAAUACAAAGGAAAUAAGAACAACUAUUUCUCAGGCUGGAGUAGGGAGUGGUGCUGGAGCUGAGGUUGCUUUUAAAUAUUCUUUCUAAAUUUGGCCCCAAAUUCUUUAGGUUAGUUGUAUUACUCAGGAAGAAAGAUUGAAGCCAUGUUGAUUUGGAUACUGUGUCAAAACUCAGUCUUGAUUCACUGUGCUUGCUGUCCUUCCUCAGUCACUGCUGUUGCAAUUCAAGUCCUGAAGACAGGGUAGGAAUCCAACCUGAGGCAGUUAUGGGAGAGACUGUAAAUUCCCACACUGGUUUUCAGAGACCCGGAGUCUAAACCCAUUUUUGACCAGAAGAAUGUGAUGGAAUUUCUUACACGCUC
rnacentral:lncRNA from 1 species